UACGGGGGGUGCGAGCGUUGUCCGGAAUCACUGGGCGUAAAGGGCGCGUAGGUGGUUUGAUAAGGGUGUGGUGAAAGUCCGGGGCUCAACCCCGGAUCUGCCGUGCCGACUGUCAAACUCGAGGGCUGUAGAGGCAGACGGAAUUCCGGGUGUAGCGGUGGAAUGCGUAGAUAUCUGGAGGAAUACCGGUGGCGAAGGCGGCAUCCUGGACCAUAACUGACGCUGAGGCGCGAAAGCUAGGGGAGCAAACGGG
rnacentral:rRNA from 1 species